GGUUGACCGUCACAUUCAGGGCGCUGAACUGAAGUUCGCUGAUUUGGCAUCUUGAGUGCAAACAACAUGGAGCAGAGCACAUUGGACAACGACAAUCCUGAUGAGUACUUUUCGAAUAUUAUUGAGAUGGACCUGGACGGAUCUUGUAGCUCCAGCACCUUGUCUGGGCGUCCGCCAAAGAAAAAGAAAAAGACCGACAUUUCGUGGCUGGCAGAGA